rnacentral:rRNA from 1 species
AUUGAACGCUGGCGGCAGGCCUAACACAUGCAAGUCGAACGAGUGGCGGACGGGUGAGUAAUGUCUGGGAACCUGGCUUAUGGAGGGGGAUAACUACUGGAAACGGUAGCUAAUACCGCAUACCAUCGGAUGUGCCCAGGUGGGAUUAGCUUGUUGGUGGGGUAACGGCUCACCAAGGCGACGAUCCCUAGCUGGUCUGAGAGGAUGACCAGCCACACUGGAACUGAGACACGGGCCAGACUCCUACGGGAGGCAGCAGUGGGGAAUAUUGCGCAAUGGGCGCAAGCCUGAUGCAGCCAUGCCGCGUGUAUGAAGAAGGCCUUCGGGUUGUAAAGUACUUUCAGCGGCGAGGCGUUACCCGCAGAAGAAGCACCGGCUAACUCCGUGCCAGCAGCCGCGGUAAUAC